UGGGGAAUCUUGGGCAAUGGGGGAAACCCUGACCCAGCGACGCCGCGUGGGGGAUGAAGGCUUUCGGGUCGUAAACCCCUGUUAGGUGGGACGAAUGUCCUCCUGCAAAUAGUUGGGGGAUUUGACGGUACCACCAGAGAAAGCCCCGGCUAACUCCGUGCCAGCAGCCGCGGUAAUACGGAGGGGGCGAGUGUUGUUCGGAAUUACUGGGCGUAAAGGGCGCGCAGGCGGCUUGGCAAGUCGAGUGUGAAAUCCCUUGGCUUAACUGAGGAAUGGCGCUCGAAACUACCUCGCUGGAGGGCGGGAGAGGGAAGUGGAACUCUCGGUGUAGGGGUGAAAUCUGUAGAUAUCGAGAGGAACACCGGUGGCGAAGGCGGCUUCCUGGCCCGUACCUGACGCUGAGGCGCGAAAGCGUGGGGAGCAAACAG
rnacentral:rRNA from 1 species